rnacentral:rRNA from 1 species
UUUGAUUUAUAUAUAAAGUCUGACCUGCCCACUGAAAAUUUUAAAUGGCUGCAGUAAUUUGACUGUACAAAGGUAGCAUAAUCAUUAGUUUUUUAAUUAAAAGCUUGUAUGAAAGGUUGGACGAAGUAAAAUCUGUCUCUUUUUAAUAUAAUUAGAAUUUAAUUUUUAAGUAAAAAAGCUUAAAUUUUUAUAAAAGACGAGAAGACCCUAUAGAGUUUAAUAAUUUUAAUAAAAUAUUUAAUUAAGAUUUAUUAAUUUUAUUUAAUUAAAAUUAUUUUAUUGGGGUAAUAAAAAGAUUAAAAAAAUUCUUUUUUUUUAAUACAUUAAUUUAUGAAUAUAUGAUCCAUUUGUAGUGAUUAAAAGAUUAAAUUACCUUAGGGAUAACAGCGUAAUUUUUUUAAAGAGUUCUUAUCGAUAAAAAAGUUUGCGACCUCGAUGUUGGAUUAAAGAUUAAUUUAGGUGUAGAAGUUUAAAUUUUUGGUCUGUUCGACCAUUAAAUCUUUACAUGAUCUGAGUUCAAACCGGUGUAAGCCAGGUUGGUUUCUAUCUUUAUUAAUUUUUUAUAUUUUAGUACGAAAGGACCAAAUAUAAAAUAUAUAAAUAUUUUUAUUUUGAAUAUUAUU